rnacentral:rRNA from 2 species
AGGUACAACCCUACCAACACUAAUACACCAGAUCCCAUCAGAACUACGCAGUUAAGCGUGCUUGGGCGAGAGUAGUACUAAGAUGGGUGCCUGGAGUAUUACUGGACUC